ensembl:lincRNA
GAGUUGCAGUAUUUUCAAACGAAGCUCACAGAAACCCUUGACAAAAACUAUUGAUGUACAUUUCGCCCAGUUUUUCUUUCUUUCUUUUUUUUUUUUUUGAGAUGGAGUCUCGCUCUGUCACCUAGGCUGGAGUGCAGUGGCACGAUCUUGGCUCACUGCAACCUCUGCCUCCCAGGUUCAAGCGAUUCUCCUGCCUCAGCCUCCCGAGUAACUGGCAUUACAUGUGCCUGCCACCAGGCCCGGCUAAUUUUUGUAUUUUUAGUAGCGAUGGGGUUUCACCAUAUUGGCCAGUCUGAUCUCGAACUCCUGACCUUGUGAUCUGCCCGCCUCAGCCUUCCAGAAUGCUGGGAUUACAGGCAUGAGCCACCGCACCCAGCCUUACCAGUGUUUUUCUAAGAAAACUUUUCCUAAACUGUAAAAAGUUUUUCUGUCUGCAGGGCCGAUUAACUUUCAAGAACGGGCGUGUGUACGAAGGCGCAUUCUCCAAUGACCACAUAGCCGGGUUUCCAGAUCUUGAAGUUGAAUUCAUCAGCUGCCUGGACCUGUCUUCAGGAGUUGCCCCAAGAUUGUCCAGGAGCGCCGAACUGAUCAGAAAGCUUGAUGGCAGUGAAAGUCAUUCUGUGUUGGGAUCGAGCAUUGAGUUGGAUCUAAAUUUGCUCCUGGACAUGUACCCUGAGACAGUCCAACCUGAAGAAAAGAAGCAGGUGGAAUAUGCCGUCUUAAGAAAUAUUACAGAAUUAAGAAGAAUCUACAGCUUUUACAGCAGCCUGGGAUGCGGCCACUCUCUGGAUAAUACCUUUCUGAUGACAAAGCUUCACUUCUGGAGAUUUCUAAAAGAUUGCAAAUUUCAUCACCACAAACUAACUCUUGCUGAUAUGGACAGGAUAUUAAGUGGUGAGUAUUACAGAUCCUUCACAUCUUUUGGUUUAAAGCAGAGGACCAGGCCGGCCACAGUGGCUCAUGCCUGUACUUCCAGCACUUUGGGAGGCCGAGGCAGGCGGAUCACGAGGUCAGGAGUUCAAGACCAGCCUGACCAACAUGGUGAAACCCUGUCUCUACUAAAAGAUACAAAAAAUUAGCCAGGCGUGGUGGUGCAUGCCUAUAAUCCCAGUCAUUUGGGAGGCUGAGGCAGGAGAAUCGCUUGGACCCAGGAGGCGGAGGUUGCAGUGAGCCAAGAUUGUGCCAUUGCACUCCAGCCUGGGUGACAGGGUGAGACUCCAUCACACACACACACACACACACACAAGGCAGGGAUCCCCAACCCCCAGGCCAGGGAGCAGUACUGGUCCAUGGCCCGUUAGGAAACAGGCUACACAGUGGAAGGUGAGCAGUGGACAAGCAAGUGAACUUUCAUCUGUUUUUUUAUUUUGUUUUAUUUUGAGACAGAGUUUCACUCUUGUUGCCCAGGCUGGAGUGCAGUGGCACGAUCUCGGCUCACCGCAACCUCUGUCUCCUGGGUUCAAGUGACUCUCCUGCCUCAGCCUCCCGAGUAGCCGGGAUUACAGGCAUGUGCCGCCAUGCCCAGCUAAUUUUUGUAUUUUUUAGUAGAGACAGGGUUUUUCCAUGUUGGUUAGGCGUGUCUUGAACUCCUGACCUCAGAUGAUCUGCCCGCCUUGGCCUCCCAAAGUGCUGGGAUUACAGGCAUGAGCCACCGCACCCAGCCUACCUUCAUCUGUUUUUACAGCCAUUCCCCAUCGCUGGCAUUACCGCCUGAGCUCUGCCUCCUGCAGAUCAGCAGGGCAUUAGAUUCUCAUAGGAGCGCAAAUCCUACUGUGAGCUGAGCAUGGGAGGGAUGUAGGUUGCACGCUCCUUAGGAGAAUCGAAUGCCUGAUGAUCUGUCACUGUCUCCCAUCACCCCCAGAUGGCACCGUCUAGUUGUAGGAAAACAAGCUUAGGGCUCCCACUGAUUCUACCUGAUGGCGAGUUGUAGAAUUGUUUCAUUAUGUAUUACAAUGUCAUGAUAAUAGAAAUAAGGCGUGCAGUAAUUCGAAUGCGCUUGAAUCAUCCUGAAACCAACAGCCCCCCACCGCUUUCCACCAUUCAUGGAAAAACUGUCUUCUACAAAAUCGGUCCCUGGUGCCAAAAAGUUUGGGGACCUCUGGUUUCAAGGACAGUAUCACAGUGUCACCUGGAAAACAGUUAGGAAAUGUGGAGGGAGCUGGGAAGGCCCAGGUUGGGAGACGAGUGUUCCAGAAAUCAGCGUGUGGUCAUUUCCCCCGUGAUUACGAGGUACUUGAUAAAGAGACAGUCUCGUGACAUAACAGCAACAGUACGAGGUCACCUACAAAAGCAGGGCCAGCAAUGCACGGUCUCAGGGUGAAAUCCAGUCCACCCCCGUUCCCCUAAAUCAGGCUUUACUGGAACACAGACAUGCCCGUUUGCUCACGUGUUCGUGACUGCUUUACCCUGAAGCACCACAGCUGAGGGAUUGUGAUGUAGACGGUCUGGUCCACCAAGCCUAAAAUAUUUACUCUCUGGCCCUUUACAGAAAGUUUGCCUCCCUCUCUCCCCCUGACCACCGAUCUAUAGUAAAAAAGCACUAAAUUGUCAGGUCAGAAAUGGGGAGACGGCCAGGCCUCGUGGUUUACGCCUGUAAUCCCAGC